AUUGAACGCUGGCGGCAUGCUUUACACAUGCAAGUCGAACGGUAACAGGCCGCAAGGUGCUGACGAGUGGCGAACGGGAGAGUAAUGCAUCGGAACGUGCCCAGUCGUGGGGGAUAACGCAGCGAAAGCUGCGCUAAUACCGCAUACGAUCUAUGGAUGAAAGCGGGGGACCGUAAGGCCUCGCGCGAUUGGAGCGGCCGAUGUCAGAUUAGGUAGUUGGUGGGGUAAAGGCUCACCAAGCCAACGAUCUGUAGCUGGUCUGAGAGGACGACCAGCCACACUGGGACUGAGACACGGCCCAGACUCCUACGGGAGGAAGCAGUGGGGAAUUUUGGACAAUGGGCGAAAGCCUGAUCCAGCAAUGCCGCGUGCAGGAAGAAGGCCUUCGGGUUGUAAACUGCUUUUGUACGGAACGAAACGGUCCUGGUUAAUACCUGGGGCUAAUGACGGUACCGUAAGAAUAAGCACCGGCUAACUACGUGCCAGCCGCCGCAGUAAAAC
rnacentral:rRNA from 1 species